AACGCACCUUGCGCUCCUUGGUAUUCCGAGGAGCAUGCUUGUUUGAGUGUCAUUAAAUUCUCAACCCUUUCAAAGUUUUUAUUGACUUUGAAGUUGGGCUUGGAUUUGGGGGUUGCGGGCUUUUCUAAAGUCGGCUCUCCUUAAAAGUAUUAGCGGAACCUUUUGUGAGCCGUCUACUAGUGUGAUAAUUAUCUACGCUAUUGAUGUUGCUUACAUUAAUAUGAGGUUCAGCUUCUAAUAGUCCAUUUACUUGGACAAUAUCUUUAUUGAUGACCAUUUGACCUCAAAUCAAGUAGGACUACCCGCUGAACUUAA
rnacentral:misc_RNA from 1 species